AAACGACUCUCGGCAACGGAUAUCUUGGCUCUCGCAUCGAUGAAGAACGUAGCGAAAUGCGAUACUUGGUGUGAAUUGCAGAAUCCCGUGAACCAUCGAGUUUUUGAACGCAAGUUGCGCCCGAAGCCUUCGGCCAGGGCACGUCUGCCUGGGCGUCACGC
rnacentral:rRNA from 6 species